UGUUUUUGCAGGAAUGACAACACAUGGCUCAAAAGUAUCUCAGUUUACCACCAUUUUAAAUAUUUCACCAUUGGGACACAAGGGCUGAAGGAGGGGAAAUACUGGUUUGUUAGAAGCAUAACUCAGUCCUUUUCCAAUAUGCUCAAGUUUCUCUUGCGUGCUGGAGAUGUCUGAGCUCCCUAAGUUCUUGAUUCUGGUGGCCCCAGGAAAGUGGCAAUCCUUCGUUAAGAAAGUCCCAGACUACCUCUGGAUCCUGGACUCCCCACAGUGAUACUCGUCUCCACUUUGUAAACCUUGUACUGGGUUCUGGUGCAUUGGGAGGUCAAGGGGUGCAAUGGAUUCACCUGGAGAUGGGCUAUGCAGAAAUACUGAAGGAGCAGAGAUAAGCUGACCCACCUCUUAACAGUGUGUCAUAGUUGAAAUGUUAUUAGAGGAAGUCUUCAAAGAAUGAAUGUUUAUACGUUGCUAAAUGCAGCUUUGAACUUUUUUUUUUUUUUUUUUAAGACAGACAUUAUAGUCAAGUCUUCAUACUGUUUUCAUUAAAUUCAUUCUAGCUUUGAAAUGG
rnacentral:lncRNA from 1 species